CUGGUGAAGGCGGUGAAAG
rnacentral:misc_RNA from 1 species